rnacentral:tRNA from 1 species
GCCGAGGUGGCGAAAUGGUAGACGCACUACCUUGAGGUGGUAGCGAGUAACAUCAUGCAGGUUCAAGUCCUGUCCUCGGUA